rnacentral:misc_RNA from 1 species
AAGUCGUAACAAGGUUUCCGUAGGUGAACCUGCGGAAGGAUCAUUAUCGAUGGCCGCGCCGUGAGCGCCUCGGCGGGAUCGGCCGGCCACUGACCACACCCUUACUCUACGAGCACCUUUCGUUCUCCUUCGGCGGGGCGACCCGCCGCUGGAACCUCAUCACGAACCUUUUUUGCAUCUAGCAUUACCUGUUCUGAUAAAUUUAAUCGUUACAACUUUCAACAAUGGAUCUCUUGGCUCUG